GAUGAACGCUGGCGGCGUGCCUAAUACAUGCAAGUCGAGCGAACGGACGAGAAGCUUGCUUUUCUGAUGUUAGCGGCGGACGGGUGAGUAACACGUGGAUAACCUACCUAUAAGACUGGGAUAACUUCGGGAAACCGGAGCUAAUACCGGAUAAUAUUUUGAACCGCAUGGUUCAAAAGUGAAAGACGGUCUUGCUGUCACUUAUAGAUGGAUCCGCGCUGCAUUAGCUAGUUGGUAAGGUAACGGCUUACCAAGGCAACGAUGCAUAGCCGACCUGAGAGGGUGAUCGGCCACACGGGAACUGAGACACGGUCCAGACUCCUACGGGAGGCAGCAGUAGGGAAUCUUCCGCAAUGGGCGAAAGCCUGACGGAGCAACGCCGCGUGAGUGAUGAAGGUCUUCGGAUCGUAAAACUCUGUUAGUAGGGAAGAACAUAUGUGUAAGUAACUGUGCACAUCUUGACGGUACCUAAUCAGAAAGCCCCGGCUAACUACGUG
rnacentral:rRNA from 1 species